rnacentral:rRNA from 1 species
AAUGAACGUUGGCGGCGUGGAUUAGGCAUGCAAGUCGAACGGGCCUGGUUUUCGGAUCAGGUCAGUGGCGCAAGGGUGAGUAAGGCGACGGUAACCAACCCCAUGGUUGGGUAUAGCCGCGGGAAACUGCGGGUAAUCCCCAGCGAUGUAAGAUGCCGGGAUCGGUGUUUUAUCAAAGCUUUGGCGCCGUGGGACGGGCCGUCGUGGUAUUAGGUAGUUGGCGGGGUAACGGCCCACCAAGCCGAUGAUGCCUACCGGGCGUGCGAGCGUGGCCCGGCACACUGGGACUGAGACACUGCCCAGACUCCUACGGGAGGCUGCAGUCGAGAAUCUUCGGCAAUGGGCGCAAGCCUGACCGAGCGACGCCGCGUGGAGGAUGAAGGCCUUCGGGUUGUAAACUCCUGUCGAGGGGGAGGAAGGGGCAACCUUGACCGAUCCCUGGAGGAAGCACGGGCUAAGUUCGUGCCAGCCGCCGCCGUAAAAC